rnacentral:rRNA from 1 species
CCUACGGGUGGCAGCAGUGGGGAAUAUUGGACAAUGGGCGCAAGCCUGACCCAGCAACGCCGCGUGAAGGAAGAAGGCUUUCGGGUUGUAAACUUCUUUUAUCAGGGACGAAGCAAAUGACGGUACCUGACGAAUAAGCCACGGCUAACUACGUGCCAGCAGCCGCGGUAAUACGUAGGGGGCAAGCGUUAUCCGGAUUUACUGGGUGUAAAGGGUGUGUAGGCGGGGAAGUAAGUCAGAUGUGAAAACCAUGGGCUCAACCCGUGGCUUGCAUUUGAAACUGUUUUUCUUGAGUACUGGAGAGGCAAGCGGAAUUCCGAGUGUAGCGGUGAAAUGCGUAGAUAUUCGGAGGAACACCAGUGGCGAAGGCGGAUUUCUGGACAGAAACUGACGCUGAGGCGCGAAAGCGUGGGGAGCAAACAGGAUUAGAUACCCUAGUAGUC